rnacentral:snRNA from 1 species
CAGCUUUGGCAGCACAUAUACUAAAAUUGGAAUGAUACAUAGAAGAUUAGCAUGGUCCUUGUGUAAGGAAGGCAGGCAAAUUUGUGAAGUGUUCCUUUUUUUC